rnacentral:rRNA from 1 species
GCAGGCCUGAGAAACGGCCAGCACAUCUAAGGAAGGCAGCAGGCGCGCAAAUUACGCAAUGCUAGUACUUUAGCGACGUAGUGAAGAAAAAUAACGAUGUAGUUCUUAUUUACAAGAUCUACAAUUGGAAUGAGUACACUGUAAAUAUGUUAACGAGUAUCAAUUAGAGGGCAAGUCUGGUGCCAGCAGCCGCGGUAAUUCCAGCUCUAAUAGCGUAUAUUAAAGUUGUUGCGGUUAAAAAGCUCGUAGUUGGAUUUUUGGCUUUGCUCUUAAGUUAGGAAUACCGUUAAGGUUAGCCUGGCUACUUUAAACAUAGUCGCUAUCGCUUCUAUGGGUCACUAGCUGGUAUUUUUAUAGCUUAGAGCGGCCGUUUCGUCACUUUUAUAAGGUGCGAAACACGUCUAUUCAUGACAUAUUUAUAUGUCUUGUUUAGAUGAGUUUACCUUGAGAAAAUUAGAGUGCUCAAAGCAGGCGAAUCGUAUGCCGAAAGGUAUGCAUUAAUGCUUGAAUAAUGUUGCAUGGAAUAAUAGAAUAUGGCCUCGGUUCUAUUCUGUUGGUCUUGUAGAACAACAAACAAGUUCGCUAAAUCUAACAAUGUUCUCUGUUGGGUGGCAUUAAUUCUAGUUAUUUUUGCUUGUAAUAUACUGUAUGUUGCCUUAUUCGCAAGUUUAAGUGCCAUCGGUUAUUGUGAGCUUUAAGUAGCUAAGGAUUGUGCCCGCUAGAAAAGCUCAGCAGUUAACAAGAUUUGCGAAUCGAGGCAAUGGUUAAGAGGGAUAGACGGGGGCAUUCGUACUGCAUCGCUAGAG